rnacentral:lncRNA from 1 species
AACGGGGAUGCUGUGAGCAGACCCCUUUUUUAUAGGGGAAUAAGAGGAAGAGACCUAUUGUCCAAAUCUGGUGGGCGGAUAAAUAGAAAAGAAGAAAAAUGACGGACUGUUUCGUCAGUGCAAUCUUAACUCGGUGCAGAAUGAAGAAACCUUUAUUGUGCUUAGCGGUGUUUACUUCCAGGAAAGUGAGAAUCCUAUGGACCUGCCUUUCCACAGACCCAUGACAAGAUCCUUCACACUCUCUCCUCUCCAAGAGCACUGGCACUCAAAUCAGAAUAGUUCCAAGACCCUAACUGUACACGGCUGUAUCAAAUAAGGAACGACUCUCCAAUCUUUUCUUUUUUUAAACCACAUCUUUAGAAAAAAAGACCAAAUUCUGUUUUGUAAAGGGCAGUGCUCUGUUCUGAAGUGCAAUGAGUGGACAGACUCCUUGUGGAAGACAUUUUCUAUGGGAACAGCUGAUUGGNGCAAGUCCAGCAUAAAAGGCAAAGGAUCUCAACAGUUGAGAUAAAGGAUGACUUGAGUUUGCUUGGUUAGGAUCUAGAAAGAAUACAAACCAUUUGCAAUGUGACACUGCAGCUGAGCAGUGAAGAUCUGGAAGCAAAUGCUUGUGGACAAUGGACUAUAAAAAAAGGAUGGUGCUUGGCAAAAUUGAGGGAAGCAGAAAAAAUGAAUAAAGAUAAUGAAUAAGGUGGAUAAAUGGUGUUC